rnacentral:rRNA from 1 species
ANGNAUGGCAGGGGGGAACCUGUAUCCAGCCUNCCCGCGUGGAGAGAUGAAGGCCUUAGGGUUNCAAAACUCUUUCGGCGGGGACGAUAAUGACGGUACCCGCAGUAAGAAGCUCCGGCUAACUUCGUGCCAGCAGCCGCGGUCAAUACNAAGGGGGCUAGCGUUGUUCGGAAUUACUGGGCGUAAAGCGCGCGCAGGCGGCCAUUCAAGUCAGGGGUGAAAGCCCAGAGCUCAACUCUGGAACUGCCUUUGAAACUGUUUGGNUUGAGUACGAGAGAGGUGAGUGGAAUUCCCAGUGUANAGGUGAAAUUCGUANAUAUUGGGAAGAACACCGGUGGCGUAAGGCGGCUCACUGGCUCGUAACUGACGCUCAAGCGCGACAGCGUGGGGAUCAAACAGGAUUANAUACCCUGGUAGUCCACNCCGUUANACUUAUGAACGCUAGCCGUUNGGCCCANCUUGCUGGUCANUUGGCGNCAUCUAACNCNUUANGCGUUCCGCCUGGNNAGUACGGCCGCAAGGNUGAAACUCNNAGGAAUUGACGGGA